ACGAUGUUCCGCUGACAUAAUCAGAUGAGUCAUGAGCAUUAG
rfam:Amphibacillus xylanus NBRC 15112 DNA, complete genome.